UUUCUUAGUGUUUAUUCUUAAUCAUCCUUAACAAUAAGAACCAUACUAACAUGUAUAAUAAGAUCUAUACUAAUAUCUAACUUAAGUAAUAGCUAAGUUUUAUAAGUUUUGUCAUUCAAAGCAUGUAUAUUCUUAGCAUUUCCAUUACAGUAGAUAGUAAUUUUAAACAUUUUGUAAAAACCAUUGUUAAAAAUCGUUAGGGAAAUUCAUCUGAUUUUUCAAAAAAUUCAUUUAAUUUUAUAUAAAUAGUUGGCUACGAACCAUGUUGGAGAAACAUUGUUUUAAUAUGAGUUUUUUUGUUUUACAUUGCAAUGUGUAUCUCAAACAUUAAUAAGAAUUGUUUUGUGUCAGUCCCAGAAAUUGAAUGCACACCUGCAAAUUUCAUAAUUCAUAAAAAUAUUAUGAAUCCAUUAGCAAAUAAAAUUGUAUCCUUGAAAGAUAUGCUGGUAUUAUUGGCACAAUGGGCAAGCAUUGAAGUGCAACUUGGUGAACUACAAAAUACAUCAAAUUCAGUUAUAAAAGUUUGAGUAUCAAAGGUAUGCUAAUUAUUGUAUUUAAGUACUCUGGAAGAAAAAAGACAAGAAAACACUUUAGUAAAUGGUAAAUAUUUUUUUUAUGAUCUGUUUAUGCAUUUAGUAUGAUAUGUAGUACAAUUUAUAUACUUUAAAUAAAAUACUCUUUGAAGAUUUUUUGUAAAUGACAUUUUAUAUUAAUUUAAGUCUAAACAAAAGUUACUUUAAUUACUGCUAGGCUGUGUGUUUUUGCAAGUUAAUUAUUUUGCACAAAUUGGAGUUAAAGACGGAGGAGAUUGUAUAUGUUAUUUACUAAGAAUAGUUUAUUAAAAUGGCCUAGCUGUAAAGUUAAAUUAUGCAGGGAGAGGAUAAAAAAUUGGAAUAGGAAAAAUGUUGAUUGCAUAUGCUGCUAUUGAAACUGUGAAGUCAAAUAGCGGAAGAAAAAAUAAUAAUCGUGGGCACCAAAUAUCAUAAG